GACGAACGCUGGCGGCGUGCUUAACACAUGCAAGUCGAGCGGUAAGGCCCUUUCGGGGGUACGACGAGCGGCGAACGGGUAGGAGUAACAACGUGGGUGGACCUCGCCCUCCAGCUCUGGGAGUAAGCCUGGGAAACGUAGGGUCGUAAUACUGGAUAUGACUCCACGGUGCAUGUCGUGGGGUGGAAAGCCUUGUGCGGCUGAGGAUGGGCCCGCGGCCUAUCAGCUUGUUGGUGGGGUGGAUGGCCUACCAAGGCGACGACGGGUAGCCGGCCUGAGAGGGCGACCGGCCACACUGGGAC
rnacentral:rRNA from 1 species